UACGAAGGGGGCUAGCGUUGCUCGGAAUCACUGGGCGUAAAGGGCGCGUAGGCGGCGUUUUAAGUCGGGGGUGAAAGCCUGUGGCUCAACCACAGAAUGGCCUUCGAUACUGGGACGCUUGAGUAUGGUAGAGGUUGGUGGAACUGCGAGUGUAGAGGUGAAAUUCGUAGAUAUUCGCAAGAACACCGGUGGCGAAGGCGGCCAACCUGGACCA
rnacentral:rRNA from 1 species